GUGGGGACGGGCGAGUGUCCCACCAGCACCUGUGUUCGGUGGGUAAGGGGCGAACGAGCUCGGAGAAGUAAACCGCAAGUGGGCACCUCGGGUUGCGGGGCCGGUUCAUAGUCACUAAGGAGCUACUGUCUCGACCCCGGGGCCCUGCUCUCCCGCCCGAUUUAGACAGCCGUCUCUUGCCACCUCGCCAGGGCCCCGAGCGGCAGGAAAACUCGGAUUUACAGGGCGCCUCCUGCGGAAGCCUAGAAAUACCGGGUGCGCCGUGGGGCUCCGGUCUGACUUCGCAGUCAGGGGGCAGUUAGGUGCCCUCCCAGGUCUCAAGGGUGCGCCAGAUCCCGGACGUGGGCCAGGCGGGCGGACGCAGCCUUCUCCCGCGGCGACACGCGCCUAACUGGGCUCAGGCCGCCGCUCGGUGCGUUCCUGCGCUAAUGCCAUCUUGCCAGAGGCUGUCACGUGCGGACGACAGCAUCGCGCUUCGCCCCGGCCCGAACGCCAAAACCGACAUCGGGACGCCACCUGGUUCCCGGGGUUCCAUCCAACCCGAGGUGAGGUGAGGGGGCCCUUCCCUCGUGGGUCCGAGCAGGGGCAGCGUGGGCGCUGGGUCCUGGGAGGCGCGUUUCUCCGUCGGGGCCCCAACGCGCCGGGCUGUAGCGCCGUCGGGGGCGGGAGGCGCCACCGCGUGCCCUGUGCCACGGCCCAGGGGGUGUCCAGGGCAAGUUGUGGGCUGGAGCAUGCCGGGCGGCGGCGGCGGGUGGCUCUGGACCCCCAGGACUUAAGUCUGCGGUCGCCUCGCCUCCGGCACAGGUCCCGCGGGGCGGGCAGACGCGCGGGAGGGCUUGGAGAGGCCGGGCCGGGGGCGCCACACGCGCGGCGCGAGGGGCGCCGGCUGCCGGGAGGAGCGCGGAUGGUGGGGGGGGCGCGGGCGCAUGCGCCCUGCGCCCGUGCCAUAUUGGAAUGAGUCGGAGUGCGGAGCGCCGCGGCCGCCGCCUCCGCCGGAGCGCGGGUGGAGGGGGGCGGGGAGAGCUGCCUGCCGCCCCGCUCCGCGGAGCCCAGCAGGAAGGAGGGCGCGAGCGGGCGAGCGCAGGCGGCGCGAACGGAAAAAGCGUCCGCGCGGGCGAACGAAAAGAAGGAAAGAAAGAAAGAAAACGAGCGCGAGAGGGGAAAAGCGAGCUAUUGAGAGAGCGAGCGCGCGAAAACUCCCGGCAGGCCACAGGUAG
rnacentral:lncRNA from 1 species